AGUGAACGCUGGCGGCGUGCCUAAUACAUGCAAGUCGAACGGAGCGGCGCACGGGUGAGUCAUGUAUAGCUAAUCUGCCCUACACUAGUGGACAAAAGUUGGAAACGACGGCAAAUAAUCAAUAGGGGUGGCUGAGGCUAUAUUGUAGCAGCUAGUUGGUGAGGUAAUGGCUCACCAAGGCGAAGACGCAUAACUGGUCUGCGGGGAUGAUCGGUAACUCUGGAAGGGAGACACGGGUCAGACUUCUGCGGGAGGCAGCAGUAGGUGAUAGUGCUCAAUGGGGGAAUCCCUGAGUCUGCAACGCCGCGUGGAGGAUGUCACUUUUCGGGGCGUAAACUCCUUUUGUUAGGGAAGCGGUACCUAACGAAUAAGCACCGGCUAACUCCGUGCCAGCAGCCGCGGUAAUUC
rnacentral:rRNA from 1 species